UGGUGUUACUGCGAAGGGGGGACGGAGAAGGCUAUGUUGGCCGGGCGACGGUUGUCCCGGUUUAAGCGUGUAGGUGUGUGUUCCAGGUAAAUCCGGUUCACUUUAACACUGAGGCGUGACGACGAGGCACUACGGUGCUGAAGCAACAAAUGCCCUGCUUCCAGGAAAAGCCUCUAAGCAUCAGGUAACAUCAAAUCGUACCCCAAACCGACACAGGUGGUCAGGUAGAGAAUACCAAGGCGCUUGAGAGAACUCGGGUGAAGGAACUAGGCAAAAUGGUGCCGUAACUUCGGGAGAAGGCACGCUGACACGUAGGUGAAGUGAUUUACUCAUGGAGCUGAAGUCAGUCGAAGAUACCAGCUGGCUGCAACUGUUUAUUAAAAACACAGCACUGUGCAAACACGAAAGUGGACGUAUACGGUGUGACGCCUGCCCGGUGCCGGAAGGUUAAUUGAUGGGGUCAGCGCAAGCGAAGCUCCUGAUCGAAGCCCCGGUAAACGGCGGCCGUAACUAUAACGGUCCUAAGGUAGCGAAAUUCCUUGUCGGGUAAGUUCCGACCUGCACGAAUGGCGUAAUGAUGGCCAGGCUGUCUCCACCCGAGACUCAGUGAAAUUGAACUCGCUGUGAAGAUGCAGUGUACCCGCGGCAAGACGGAAAGACCCCGUGAACCUUUACUAUAGCUUGACACUGAACAUUGAGCCUUGAUGUGUAGGAUAGGUGGGAGGCUUUGAAGUGUGGACGCCAGUCUGCAUGGAGCCGACCUUGAAAUACCACCCUUUAAUGUUUGAUGUUCUAACGUGGACCCGUUACCCGGGUUGCGGACAGUGUCUGGUGGGUAGUUUGACUGGGGCGGUCUCCUCCUAAAGAGUAACGGAGGAGCACGAAGGUUGGCUAAUCCUGGUCGGACAUCAGGAGGUUAGUGCAAUGGCAUAAGCCAGCUUGACUGCGAGCGUGACGGCGCGAGCAGGUGCGAAAGCAGGUCAUAGUGAUCCGGUGGUUCUGAAUGGAAGGGCCAUCGCUCAACGGAUAAAAGGUACUCCGGGGAUAACAGGCUGAUACCGCCCAAGAGUUCAUAUCGACGGCGGUGUUUGGCACCUCGAUGUCGGCUCAUCACAUCCUGGGGCUGAAGUAGGUCCCAAGGGUAUGGCUGUUCGCCAUUUAAAGUGGUACGCGAGCUGGGUUUAGAACGUCGUGAGACAGUUCGGUCCCUAUCUGCCGUGGGCGCUGGAGAACUGAGGGGGGCUGCUCCUAGUACGAGAGGACCGGAGUGGACGCAUCACUGGUGUUCGGGUUGUCAUGCCAAUGGCACUGCCCGGUAGCUAAAUGCGGAAGAGAUAAGUGCUGAAAGCAUCUAAGCACGAAACUUGCCCCGAG
rnacentral:rRNA from 1 species